AUGUCUUUGCUGAGCAGAGUGGGAGGAGGAGUUCAGGUAGGUGAUUGCAAUGCUCAUAAUGAUACACCAAUUGACUCUCCUUGUCCUGGUGGUAAGGAUCAUGGUGUCGAGGGAGGACGUCAAGUGAAUUCGCCGAUUGAAUCUUCUCCCAUAAGUGUGGCCCCUCCUUGUGUGUCUGUUUUCCAUGCUGGGGCGCCUGGGUUUGAGGAGGUUACUCAAUUGAUUGACCAUUAUUUUGCAGAGGGUAAUGUUGGUGUGAGCUUUGAUCAGAGACGUCCCGUCUUGUCUGAAACACAAUCACAGUCUGUUGAUGGUACAGAGGAAGUUACACAGGAUUGGAUGGUCUCAGAACAGCUUCGUCAAUAUGAGUUGAAGCAAAGCAAGAAUAAGUUGAGGUUUGAAAUUGAGUCAAAAGAGUUUGCGGAGAAGGAGAAGCAGAGGAGAGCUGCAGAUGGUGCCAAGGGUGGCAAAUUUGACAAGGUGAAGCAGCCUUCUUUGCAGAAGAAGAGGCUGAGUACUGUUGCUGAGGAAGGUGGUACACCUCGGCAGAGUCCACGUGUUGCUGGAAUGAAGAAGAAUCUUGGCAAGAGAACUGCUAAAGCUGGUGGAAAUGAUGAUCCUCAGCGCAAGCGACUACAUGUCACUGAAGGUUCCAACUCUGAUGAUGAUGACUUUGUGCUUGUUGAUUAUGUGAAGGGUGUUCAUCCUUGUAGACGCAAAGACUGUGGUUCAUCUAAGAGUCUACCCAAGCGUGCCCGUGAUAAUGUCGAUGAAGAUGUUGGUGGUGAAUCUGGCGAUCUUCUAAUGUGGACUACAUUUCCCUUUACACAGAGGAAGAAGUCUAGUAAGAGCAAUGCAACUGAAGGUGAUGCUGAGGGAGAUGAUUCUCGAUUUAACAAGACCGUACGUUUGUCGCUUCCCACUGUUUGCAAGGCUGCUUCUUUGUUGAAAGAGGCACAUUGUAGUCGUGUUAGGGAUGCUGGAUUUGGUGUUGUCUUUGAUCUGACAGCAAAGAAAAAUGUGUCGCGCAUUCUUAUGUGCUAUCUGAUGGGAGUGAUCGACCCUGCCACCAUGGUAAUGGACUUUGGGAAUGACAGGGUUCUUCAAAUCAAUCGUUAUGCAGUUCAUCACAUUUUUGAUUUACCUAUGGGACGUCACACUGUACCCAUGCCUGCUUCCAGCGGUCAUGAUGAAUCAUUGACUGCCCUCAAGGAUGAGCUUGGCUUUGACGGUUCAAAAAGUAUAGGUGUAAAGGACUUGCUUGAGAAGUUGAAGGUGUUAGUGGAGGAAGAUGAUUAUGUGACUGUUGACCUUGCUGUGAAGGUGUUCUUCCUGAUACUUUACCAGAAUUUGCUGUGCCCCAGGCCUGCAGUUCGUUUGGGUAGAGUUGCUGCAAUGGUAGAGAACAUGGAUUAUGCAGCUAUGGCUCGGAUGGACUUUUGCCAGCUUGUUGUUGAUGAGUUGCAAGCAACUCUGGUGAGGUGGCAAAUAGAAGGCAUCAAGCAGAAUUGUGCAGAGGGUUGUGCCAUUGUCCCCCUGAUUAUGUAUCUUGACUGCUUGAAGCUUCACAAAUUUUCAGUCAUGCACACAUUGACACCACAUGCGUCAUACGUGACAACCAAGGACCUGAUGAAGUUGUACAAUGAGGAUGUGCUUGUGAAGGGAAAGAUUUACUUGGAAAGUUACAAAUUUGGGAAGCUGACGUGGAAGGCAUCAGGUGAUAUUGUGUACAACCGUCCUGCUGAAGUUGUACAUGGCAGCUCUGAUGCGGGGCCUAGCACUCAUGCUUGGUUUCAUGAGCCUAUCUAUAGCCAGCUUCCUGCCUGUGAUGAUGAGGUGCCGCAUACUCGUGGUUUCAUGGCUCGACAUAUGUUUGAUAAUAGAAGCUCUUAUAAACAGACAUUUGUUGGCGUCAAAAAACACAAGGAGAUUGAUGAGCUUCUUCUGAAGGCUGGAGUGAAAUCUUCUGGUGUCGAUGGAACUAGAGACGAUGGAGUUGGUCAGACUGGUGUUGCUGCUUGUGAUGUGCACAAAGAGACCUACGAUGGCUCUGGAAAGGAUGAGGUCUUGGCUGAUGCAUCGCCCCCUCUGGAUGUUGUAGCUGAUAAGGGCAGUUGUGCUGUUGAUGGCGGUGGCAGUGUUGAUGCUUCUACAUCGGUUGCCAUUGACUGUGCAGAUCCUUUUGUAGCUCAAGGAUCCCAUGAUGCUGUUCCCACUAGUCGGCAUGAAGAUUCUGAUGUUGGCAUUGAAAAGCCACUUGAGAAUGUCGGCCCUGCUGUUAGUGUUGUUGCUUCCCCUACAAAUAUUUGGAAUGGUGGUACUGUAGGCAGGAGUGUUAAAAUGAUGUUCUCCUCAAAAGUUGAGGAGCGUGUUGAUAAAAAGGAUACGGUCCUUUUUGCAACUUUUGAUCUGCCAGAUACGAGGGAUGGUGUUGGUCAUUAUUGUGUAGUUGUGUUAAAUGUGAAAGAAAGGCGGUUUGAAUUUCUUGACUCGCUCAACAAACCUGGCAGCCCUGAUGCGACCUGGGAUGGUGUUCGAGUUGCUAAGUUUGGGGUGGAGCACAUUGGCUACAUCAGAAAGGCCAUGCUCUAUAGCUGGCUCACAUCGAGGAAGUGUUGCCUUGAUUUAACAUCACUUCUAAUUUUUGCAGAUAAAGGAUUUGAUGGGGGGCUUCAUGAAGGCUGUACGUCACUGUUUGAGUCCCAAGGUUCUGAGGUGGUUAUGGAGGAUUGUGUCAUUGAAAUCUCUCCAAAUAAUUCCGGUUCUUUGGCUGGAGAUGGUUUGAACACAAAUGUGGCGUCUGGACCUGAUGGUGGAAGUGUCUCUCGACCUAGCUCUCCACAUGAUGUAUAUGAUGUUGAUGAUGAUGAUUUUGUUACGCCGUGUCCAUGUGUCACUAGGACUAGGAGUGCAGCAAUUAAUCGUCCUCCUGUGGAUGAGGUUGAAGUAUUUUUGAACAAGAGGGCAGGUGAGAGGGCUUUUAAGUUGAGAUGCUCUAUAGAGAAAUUGAAGCCUCCAAGGUUCAAAUAUAUUGAUGCGGCAAUUAAAAUAAAGGAUCUUGUUCUUAGCAAAGAUUUUGUAACCAAAUACCACAAGAACACGUUCUUUAUGGUGAGUAGUCCUUUUGAUGAUGUCGAUACUUACACUGUCAACAAUAUCUAUGAUACAUUUGGCAAAGGAGCUUUAGUGGAUUUGUAUCUCAUGGAUUUUGUCAUCAAGUACUGGAAGCAAGACCCUGAAUUGGGUUUAGCUUAUCAAUCCAGUGAACGUUACGUUCUUCAAAUGGAAACCUUUGUGGCGAGAGAUAAUGACGGAAACCCUGUGUUGCCAGUUGUGCAUAGCUCGUUUGUUUUAGAAGAUGCAGUUAAGCAGUUCAAGGUUUUUGUGAGCGACGACGCAAACCUGUUGGAUGCAAAACUAAUUAUGAUGCCGCGAUCCAAGGAUGGUCAUUAUUCCUUAUACACAAUGAACCAGCAUCGCCAGACGCUUGAUAUCCAUGACAGUAGGAAGUACACUGGCCAUCUUGAUGUCACAACAAGGUGGCGCAGGACUGACUACCACGCAGAUUGCACUGAAGUGAUGAGGAGGAUGACUCAGGUGCUGAAGGCGAUUUAUGGUGAAAAAAUGUAUAAAUCGAAGAACCACCCUGACUGGGUUAAAUUGGCAGAGAAGCCCUCUUACCCGGUCGUGCCAGCACAGGGAGCAAAUGAGUGCGGAAUCUAUGUUCUGAGGAUGACGCAGUUGUAUGACGACCAACAUCUAGUUGAGAAAAUUUUGAAAUCCGACCCUAUUGAUGAAGAUUGA
rnacentral:rRNA from 1 species